rnacentral:rRNA from 1 species
UCCGGAGGGGGCGAGCGUUAUUCGGAAUUAUUGGGCGUAAAGAGCGUGUAGGCGGCCAGGUAGGUCGGUUGUGAAAACUGGAGGCUCAACCUUCAGAGGUCGACCGAAACCAUCUGGCUAGAGUCCGGGAGAGGAGAGUGGAAUUCCUGGUGUAGCGGUGAAAUGCGCAGAUAUCAGGAAGAACACCCGUGGCGAAAGCGGCUCUCUGGAACGGUACUGACGCUGAGACGCGAAAGCGUGGGGAGCGAACAGG